rfam:Aedes albopictus isolate Foshan contig55886, whole genome shotgun sequence.
UAGCCUAGUGGUUAAGGCUAUGGAUCGCCAAUCCGGAGACGGCGGGUUCGAAUCCCGU